CAGUCAUUUCGUCUAAUUCAUGUGUAUUUUGGGUGUGGGACAAUGGUUCUUCACAGGCCCACUGUCAGGCGAAACUGGGUUUGCCCAAAAAAUAAAAUAAAUAAUCAAAAAAAUAAUAAUAAUAUGGCAAUACUCGCAGAGAUGUAAGGUGUAAAGUGAUGUUUAUUUACAGUGCUCGAGAGGAGAAACAGUCCCAGUACACAAACGACCCAAAAGCUAUAUACAAAAGUAACAAAGAAAACUGAAACAAUAAACCCUAUACAAAAGGAAAAGAAAACAAAAAUAUAUAUAAAUAUAUCCACGCAAACUCCUCUAAUGAUCGCUUGCUCACUCCUUAACUGACACCCAAAAGUUCUUUGGGGCUCCUAUUUAUAGUCCAAGCCCCGCCUCUUUUGUUAAAACCAUUGCAUAAAUUAGUGGGUAAGUAUUUCAGGUGAGUAUGUACAAUUUCCACAACAUCACAAAAAUAUAUACACAAAAAAAUAGCAAAAUAUUUACGGAAACAAACUCCAAACCAAAAUAAACAAAUACAAAUUUAGACACACAAUAAUUAGCAUAAUAAUAAUAACAACACAUUUCCAUUAUCCCCCUAACGAGCCAAGACAAUGGACGAGCCGACUUCCGGUUGCUUCGCGCCGACGCGGCCACACACAGCGGUCAUGGCACUAUUUAUCCAGGCCGCAGGGUGGCGCUCGGGUUCGGUCGAUCGAUGGAGGAGAAGCAUCGCGAAAGACCGGCAACACAGACGCUGACAAACACCGAACACAGCAGGUUUUCUGAAGGGGAUGGAAAUGGAGUGGCUAUGUUUGCGUGUAUGAUGACCAGCGUGCUAAUGACCCACAACGCCCCAGCAGGGAACGGAGGAUGAGAGUUGAAGCCUACAGCCGUUCUAUCAAUGCAGCAACUG